GGCUUGUGAGGAGCCUUGUGAGUCAACUCAUAUCUCUCAUGAUUCUUCAGAAUGAAGUACACCUCAGGAGGUUUCAACCAACGGGUCUUAGCUUCUUGGGACAGAGUACUAAUCUCGUAUUCUAAAUUAAACGACAAAAAGCAAGAGGAGGUUUCCGACAACAGCCACGGCACGAAGAUGGAUGCUAUGCCAGUCGCAGCUGCAAGGAGUUAUAGAGAAAUUACGGAAUCGGCCCGGGUCUCGUUUCACACUUUGAUAAUGUAGAUUGUAGAGGUAUCAAUCGGGCUACCCGAUCCAAAACCCGCGAUAUCCAUUAAUAUUUAAGUCAUGGCUGAUUUGUUAGCAAAAACUGAAAUUAUAAGUUAACUGCGAUUCUAAUAAUA